CUCAGAAAAGCCUCACAGCUGAAAGAGGUGCUGCUCCCAGGAUAUAGCCAAGUCUACAAUGACCAGACCCACUCCAGUAGUGGCAGGAGUCAUGGAAGCUGAUGCCAAGUGCAGGAACCCAAGGGCAGCGCUGAGUGGUGGUUCCCAGUCCUAGAUCAUCUUUCAAGAAAAUAAGCUUUUGCAGCCAGAGUUGAAACAGAAAAUGGGUUUCAACAACCACACAAAUGACAGUUCAGUUGUGCAGAAUUUACUCCAGAUGCCAGUGGAAGAAAAGAAGACCCUUCGGUUCAAUAAUUUCAGCAACCCAGCCUUGGAGUUGCAAGAGGAAAUAAUGGCCUCUUUUUAUAUUCUUAUCAUUGUCGGGUUUUUCGGCUUUCUUCUGUUUGUCAUGAUGCUCAGCAAUAUUGUUUCCAGUAAGCCUGAAAACUACAUUGACUAUCUCUACUCUGGGAAGCUUAACCUGCCGAGAGCCAAGGUGGAGAUUCCAGGAAAGGACAGCCAAGACACAUUGGUUAUCAUCAACAACACUGCCCUAAUGGAGCUGCAAAAGCAAGAUGACAAGAACACUGUAUCUGAGACACCAAGCACCGAUGCAGCUUUGAGGAAUGUAUGAAAAUAGGGAUUUUUACUAUUUUAUUGUGCAUAAGGAACUGAAACAGGAAUAUUUUUCCUUCACAAAAGCAAGAAACUAGGAGCUGUGCCAGGACAGAUGCAGACCAAUCUUUUGUAAGCUUCCCACGCACAGCUGUGAAGGUACCUGAAGUGAAACCUUUGUUAUUUGAGCCCCAGGCUUUUGGAGUAGAGUCUGGAAAUCAAGUCCUUACUAGCCUAGCUCUUCAUGGCUGCUUUAUAAUAUGUUUUUAUAACUUGCCUCUCAGGAGAAUGGAAGGCCUCCCUCUUCAUGCUGUUGCUGCAGCAGGGCCAGUAUGUUUCUGGUUGAGGUGCUGUUGGUGUGCCCAUCUGCUGUUAUUAUUUAUUUAUUUAUUUGGAGAUUUGGUGUUGCCAAUGAGCUCUCUGGUGUGCACUCUGCAACAGCUUUCAUGGCAUGUCCGCCCUCUCCACAUGCUGGAGCACUCUGAGGUGGAGGCAAGCUGAACCCCAUGUCCAGUCCUUCUAGAAGAAAGAUUAUUUCAAGGGUCUACAGGCACGUGUGAGACCUGAACUUGUUUGCUCUCUUGGCAGGCUUAGUCUGGAGCGAGUUUUUUGACUGUGGUCACUCAUUUCUCAGCAGGUCUCUUCCUGCACAUCAGACUUGCACCAAAGCCCAGGACAACAAGGACACCCAGGACAUCUUGGCAUCUCUCCAGGGUCCCUCCUUCACUGGAGCUGACAAGCCACAGGUGCUGUCCUCAGGGCUGAGCCACCAUUGCACCAAUAAUCUCUGACAAAUUCCUUCAGUGUUUAAUGCUAACCCCAUCAGCAGCAUCUUCUGCUUCCUUGGGUGGUAGACAAUAAGCAGAGGGGUUACAUGGUAGCUUGAGGGUGCCAUCUGCUGUGACACAAGCCACGAAGCCUCAGCAAACACAAGAAGGAGCGGCUUGCCCACCAAGCAGCUCACUGGUGUUCAACCCAUGUCCUGCAGUGCCUGGGGGCACAGGGGUUUGGGACAGGUAGCCACAGUGGGGCAAACCUAUUGUCAGAAGGUUUAGACUUGCUAUACUGGGUCCACAUAUUCACUGGAAAAAUUUCCAGAGUCUGCAAAUCAAAAUUACUGAAAACUACUGGUGUAGAUACUAUAAGAACUCGAGGGUAUUUUAUUGUGGAAGAAAAAAUUCUAUAAAACCCUGUAAAAUAGGAUGUGGGUGGAUGUUGCUGGUUCCAUUCAACCUCUUUUUUUGUCUGCUGUUUUUUGUUACUGAUGGGAGAAAAAUUCUCACAAAUUUUGUGCCCUAAAAAACAUUGCCCCCCACCACCUUUUUUCUCUCUAACUUUUCUUAAAUUGGCUUUUUCUACAUCUGUUGCCUCAUGUUUUGCUCUUGUGACGUCUUUCUUUCUUUCUUUUUUUAAUAUAUCCCUUGCUGCCAUGAUAUAGAGUUAUUAUUAUGGGAUUUUGCCACUGUUUUGUGCAAGCCAAUUGCCUGCAAAUGAUUUACUUCAUGUGGACCAUAUCCUUAAAGGGAAUUUCCAAAGACUGAUUUUGUAAGACAGGUUCCAAGGCUGAUACUUUCAGCUGAUAGCCAAGAUGAAAUCCACACUGCUAUCUUGGCUCUCCAUAUUUCUUGCUCGAAUUCCAGAGAUUCAGCUUUCCAACACAGACAUCUCCUUUUUUGGACAGGUGCAUACUCCCCAGGGACUGUCUCCAGCAGAGAGUUAUGAGGCGGUUCAGUUAGUUUUGGAACCCGUUGUCUUUGGCUUCAUUAUCAUGUCUGGUUUAAUAACUGCUAGAUCUGAGCCAGAAUCUGCUAUUUAUGCUCACAGCUCCUGACUGCACUCAGUAGCCACGCUCCAAUUACUGCAGCUCAGCUAUUCAGAUCUAAAAUUGAGAGGUGUUUUCGAGGUAUGAAAAACAUGUGCAGUUCCAAGUCUGUCCCUUCUUCUUGGUGUGGGUGUUUCCCAAAAGAAGGCAACUAUCCCAGUCCAUUUUGGAGAGGGAUCAAUUCCUGCCCAGUGCCCAUUUAAAAGAGAAUUAGCAUGACUUUGUGCAAUAGUGACAAUUCCUCCUGCUUUGCAAACUAAGUUUAUCUGUUUUUUCCAGUCAUGCAGCAGUGUCAGGAAGCAGAGUCAAAUCUCUUUUUACAUCAUGAAUGUUAGAUACAGGCUUCAGCCAUCCAUCAUGCCCAUGAGGUUCUGGGCAGUGAAAUUUCCUUUUACUCCUUUACUCCUUUUACUGAUGGGCUGAUGUGAGGAAGGCCCCAGGUUGGAUGGUGAAUUCCAAAGCCACGUGAAGUGUUAUUUGCCUCCUUCCAAACGGAGCUUCUAAAAACUAAUACACUGCUAAUUCAUCACAGAAGUCUUUAUUGGUGCAUCCUUUGGUGUUCCCAUGGGGAAAGCACAUUCCCAUUCAUACCACCCUUAGUAAUCGGCUCUCACAGACAGUCUUGAGGGGUGGGGGUGAGGUGAGCCCCCUCUAUGCUCUUCAUGCAGUAAGGGGUUCUACACCAAAAGCUUGAUUCAGACCUCCAUCGCUCAAGUCAUGGACCCAACAGGUCUUUCCUGUUCCCGGACCUAGGCACACCCAUCACCUUAUCCCAGUCUCAUCGCAGGGUGAGAUCACCAGCGUGAUUCUGCUGCUCAGGUGCCUGUGGAGGAAACCCCUGUGCGCAGGGUCGGAGCUGGUGCCCUGAGAGAUUUCUUCCAUCUGGAUGGAUACAGGAUGAGGACCUUGAAGUGUGAUCUGAGCAUCAUUUUGCUCUCUGUGCUGAAGGAGCUUCUGCAUCACCCUUAAAACAGGCCAUCUACUUGAGCUGCUGGCAAUUUCUCCUCUCCACUCCCCUCUGUUAAUCCUCCCAACUGUUUAUUUGGGUUUUGCUGUUAAACUGGGAUGAAAGAUUUGAGAUGUUCUCCUGUAGGUAUUGUUGAGCUGGGGCAGUAUGUUCCCUCCUCUCCAUGGUCCUUGAGGGUUUACAAGUGCUAUCAGCAAUGUCCAGUCCUGCCAAGCUCCUCAGCUACCUUGAUUCUUCAACUAUAGGAUCAAAUAUCAGUGCAGUUUGAAACACUUCUGUUUCCCUCUCAGAACUUUUUUCCCCCUACCUCAAGGAGAUGCCUAUGUAUGCACAUACAUCUGUUGGACAAUUUCAACUACAUCUGAUAAAGGACUACAACUCCCAAAGAUAUCCUCUUCCUACAGAUUUCAGGUGAUAGAUGGUCAGGUAGAAAAGAAGCCAUAUUUGUGAUGGUCUCAUAGGUAAAACUGUUAGACUCAACCUUUGUUAGACAGCAGAGAAUCCCUAAUGCUGAAAAUCAAGUUUCAUCAGUUUUUGCAAAGUGUCUCACAGAUCUUUGUGGGAAACCUCCAGCAGUUCUACUCAUCCAAUUUUAAGAUGUUCUGACCUGUUAUUUUAAGCCUUGUUUUAAUGUAUUUUCUGAAGUUUCCACCCUUAGGCCAUCUUUGAUUUCAGCAUGUGCUUCUCAUCAUUCCAUCAUGGAUCAAGAGCUAAGAUUAUAUACUUUUGGAAAUUUUCUUCUGCACCAGAAUUGCUACUUUGGCCUGUGAGUUUACGUAGUGUUCAGGACUUCACCAGACAGCUAAGAGGGAAGAUGAAUUAUUUAAAAUUGGUAUAGGAUUUGUUAGAACAAAGAAUCCUAAUUUUUCUCAUUCCAUGUAAAACUGAAAAAAAAAAACCCAAAUUCCAUGUAGAAUAGUACUCUGAAGUGUUGGUUUGGGGGAAAAAAAACCAAACUUACAAAAUGUUUUGUUUAGAUAAAAUUAAAAAGUUUGAUUUCAAAAUUAGCAACUUACUUAAUUUUAGCUUCUACACUUAAUAUAAAACAACAGCAGAGACCUCUACUGUUUGCCUAAUAUCACACCUACUGUUUAUAUGUAUUUCAUUAUGUUUCAUAUUUCAUUGUGUUUUUAUUGUGUAUUUUAAAAUAAAGGGUUUGUGAUUUUUUUUA